rnacentral:lncRNA from 1 species
AAGAAAGGACAAGGUUUUACAGCAUUUCAGUACUUUCAGUGGCACAUUUUUCUUGCUUUUUGAACAAGAGGUCCCGUAUUUUCAUUUUGCGCUGGGCCCUGCCAAUUACGUAGUCGGCGCUGGCGGCAGAGGUGGGCGAAGCGAGCCACAAGAAAAUGGGGACGUUUACACGAAGGCAGAGGAAUGAUAGAGUUUGGGAGCAGCUUCGGGGGCGAGGAGGAUGUGGAGCCCAACCUAUGACCCUGGACGGGCGACCCGAACGUUUGCAGGGCUUGGGGCCAGAGCACAAACGGAGCCGCUCUCAGUCCGGCUCAGUCCCGCACAGCGAGAGGCGUUGUGCGCAUGCGUGUGGUCCCGCAGCCCCCAUCCGACCACCAUCUACACUCCCCAAGCUGCGGUUUUUGGUCCACCCCCAGGCCAGCGGUGGUCUGUCUUGGGAAGAUGGAGCUGGGGAAGAGGCCUGAGAAGUGAGCUCGAGGCCAUUCGGGCAGAGAAUUCUGGGGUCCAGAGCUCCCCAGCCCGGCCAAGAGGGUCCUGCCAUGUAGGGUGGCAGAUCCAGAGGAAUCCUGGGAAGAUGGAAAGCAGAAUAUGCCCUCGCCUCGCUCUCAUUCAGGACUGUGGCCUCUGUGAGGGCGGGCCCUGGUCUCCUGCUGGCCGUGGUUCCCCUGCGCUCAGAAGAAGGGACCCGACAGGUGUUUCUCACUGGAGGGAAUGGAACGGUUCACUCUCCCGCUCUGGCACUUCUGGCUUUGUGAGUUUUGACCAUCUCCCAAGCCUCAGUGUCCUUGCCUGCAAGACGAGCGUGACAGUCCCUCUUCAGGAGCCCCUGUGAAGAUUACAUAAGGCAGCUGCAUCUGUGUAGGGCCCGGCAGUGGCCGGUGCCGUGACUCGGACCUGUUAUCGCCAGUGUCUCCCACGGACCCCGACCACGGAGGUCGCCCCCUCUGUCUGUUCAACCCCAGUCUCUGCCCUCACCUUGGAUGCCCCUGGAGAGCUGGCCUCCCCUGCUCCCCCAGCAGGCUCUGACAGAGAGGCUCUGACCUCACUCCUCAAACCACGGUCUCCACCGACGGUGGACCGGGUCCUGAUGGCUCUCAGCCCCUCAACCCCAGUCUGGAAACCUCCGCAUCCCAAGAGUGUGGUGAAGACGGAGCACUUUGGAGUCUGGCAGAGCUGGGUUCAAAUCCUUCUCAGGGGCACCAGCCGAGCCAUGUGUACAAGUCACUUCCCUGAAUGCAGUAAACACUGUUGGUCCCUUGCUCAUAACUUCUUAAUAAGAUCAGCUUUAUAGGUCAAAGGCUGCUUCCUGCAGACACCUGACACUGCCUGUGGGUAUUUUUCUGGCCUUGGGGACUGUUCAGGGUGCAGGGGAAGCCAAGAGUCCUGGAGACUUAAUGUUCCUGGCAGCUGCCCUCGAAUGGUGGCACAGUUCGUGGAUAAAUACCCCAGCUCCCUCUCCCUUUGGGUGGGAUGUGUCUGUGAGGUGUGUUGAGACCCACUCGUCCACAUGGCACCCGCUCGGUAACGCUCUCUUUAAGGCUGCCUUUCCUUCCCCUCCUCACUUCCUCCCUCGCCCAGCAGUGCGUCCAGGGAUCACCCUCCACGUUAAUCCCUUGCCCUUGAAUCCUUGUUUCAGGGUCUCCAUCUGAGGGAACCCAAACCGAGAAGACGUUCAGCCUCAGUCUUUUUACCCUUAAAGAGAGGAUAACAGAUUCCUACUUCCUAGGCUUGUGUGAUGGUUAGUUUUAUGUGUCAACUUCACUGGCCCCGGGGGUCCCCAGAUUAAAGAUUAUUUCUGGGUGCGUCUGUGAGGGUGUUUCUGGAUGAGAUUG